rnacentral:lncRNA from 1 species
GCCACAGAGACCAACUGGCAGGGACGAGACGGGGCACCCCUCAAGCAACGGGUAGCGGGUGUCCAGCUGGACGUCCCCAUCGCUCUGCUGCAGAGGUCGCUAAGACACUUGCACUCCCGUCCUCGUUUCACGGAAGGGCCCUGCAAGCACCCGCUCACCGCUCACGGCUGCGUACUGGGCGCAGGGGGCCCAGGCCUGCCCGGCGAGCGCGCUGGGGCUCCCGCGCGGAGCGCACGGAGGACGCCUCAUCCGCAGAGCAACGGCUCGGCUGAGCAGACGGACGGGUCGAGCUUGCGGCCGUCCGGAGGCGACCCCCUGGGGGUCUCAGCAGGGGAGCUACCUGUCGCGUAGGCCACACGUAAACCGUGGGGGCCACAGGACGGUCUUCAGAUUGCGGCCACGCAGCCCCGCCCGGCAGGAGCCGGAGGACCGUCCUCUUCCCCCGGGCAGGCCCUGGACAAGGCCCUGGUUCCCAACAGAACGUCACAGAAACGACUUCCCGAGCCUGCAAGACCCGGUCACACGUCCUGCGGCUUCCUGCGGUUCCGUCUCGAACCGCUCGUCCUCCGCGCGCUCAGCCCGGCCGCCGCCCCGAGCAGACCAGGCCGGCCGCAGUCGGCGGGUCCCAGCCGGCAGCCCCCGCGGGCCUCCGGGCGCGCCGCCCACUUCACGGCCGCAGGGAAGCUCCGUGUGUCCGACGGUCACGCUUCCGCCGGGCCCGGGUCCCGGCCGACGCGGAGCGGCGCCUCCCGACGUCCGCGAGCGAAGACUGUCCGGCCGAGCCCCGCCAGCGCACGGACCCCGAGAAACAGCAACGCGCGGCCGUGACGCCGCCGAGUGUGGUGUGGUGGUUUGUCAGCCGCGCGAGCCCAAGUCGUUCCCCGGGACGCGCUCGGUGUCCCACAGCUAACCGCGCUUUACGAUAAAAUAUCCGGACCGGCUAGCGCUGUUUGGACAAACGCAGUUAUGAUUCAGUAUGAAAGGGCUAGUUAUGUCUUUAUCAUCAUGAGGAUGAGCCAAAGGGAAAAGCAGGCAUCGUCAGUACAGAGAACGGCAUGUAGUAGAACGAACGAUGUUUCCAUGGAAGGACCAGAACUGUCAGCGAACGGAGAGAAAAGGGCCAGAACUGUCAGCGAACGGAGAGAAAAGGNCCAGAACUGUCAGCGAACGGAGAGAAAAGGGCCAGAACUGUCAGCGAACGGAGAGAAAAGGCCGCUUUCCUCACGCAUAAAGGAAACUGUCAGAACACCCGCACUCGGUCAGCCCCGAGACAUACUGAUUCCUGGGGAAAGCAUACGGAAGUGGCUGACGUGGGAGAGAAGAAUAUGUGUUAGUAUCGAUGAAUUUAAUUUUAGACUUAUUUUGAAAAUUCCAGUAACACAAACUCCACUCUUAUCAAAUUAAUUUCUAAAUUUAACAUCAUGACCCUAAUCAAAAUUCUGACAAUACUUUCAGCGGGAUCUGACCAGCGGACUCUCAAGGUCUUCUGGAAAACUAAACAAACAUACCAGGAGGAAGACUUGCCCGAUUGCAGCAGAUAAAAGAACAUGUCACAGUGAUUUAUAACGUAGUAUUGUUUCAUAAACAGAUCAAAAGAUUAACCAAACAGAGAAGAAAGUUCAAAAAAGGCCUCGUUCAACCACAAGUUUUUGUUUAUUAUAAAGCUAGUACAUGAAAUUAGUGGGAGAAGGAUGAAUGAGGGAAAGGAGAUUAAAAAGUUAGUUCUCCUUUCAGAAAUAAAAAUAAUUUCCAGUUCACCCUACACACACACACACACACACACACACACAAAUCCACAUUAAUGUAAAAAAAAAAAAAAAAGGACAACAAAAAGUACCAAAACAAUAUACAGAGAAAUACCCUCAAAAUCUU